rnacentral:rRNA from 1 species
AACGAACGCUGGCGGCAUGCCUAACACAUGCAAGUCGAACGAGACCUUCGGGUCUAGUGGCGCACGGGUGCGUAACGCGUGGGAACCUGCCCUUAGGUUCGGAAUAACUCCCCGAAAGGGGUGCUAAUACCGGAUAAUGUCUUCGGACCAAAGAUUUAUCGCCUUUGGAUGGGCCCGCGUUGGAUUAGCUAGUUGGUAGGGUAAAAGCCUAUCAAGGCGACGAUCCAUAGCUGGUCUGAGAGGAUGAUCAGCCACACUGGGACUGAGACACGGCCCAGACUCCUACGGGAGGCAGCAGUGGGGAAUAUUGGACAAUGGGCGAAAGCCUGAUCCAGCUAUGCCGCGUGAGUGAUGAAGGCCUUAGGGUUGUAAAGCUCUUUUACCCGGGAUGAUAAUGACAGUACCGGGAGAAUAAGCUCCGGCUAACUCCGUG